CAGUCAGGAUGUUGGCUUAGAAGCAGCCAUCAUUUAAAGAAAGCGUAAUAGCUCACUGAUCGAGUCGUCCUGCGCGGAAGAUGUAACGGGGCUAAGCCAGUUACCGAAGCUGCGGAUUUGCAAUUUAUUGCAAGUGGUAGGAGAGCGUUCUGUAAGCCUGUGAAGGUGCCUGGUAACGGGUGCUGGAGGUAUCAGAAGUGCGAAUGCUGACAUGAGUAGCGUUAAAGGGGGUGAAAAGCCCCCUCGCCGUAAGCGCAAGGUUUCCUACGCAACGUUCAUCGGCGUAGGGUGAGUCGGCCCCUAAGGCGAGGCAGAGAUGCGUAGCUG
rnacentral:rRNA from 1 species